AUUAAACCUCCCUUCCCAUUCUGCAAGAGGUGCAGCUCGAAUGUGAUUGGUAAACUUUUGGUUCCGAUUUGAGAGAGGUUGAAGAGUUGAGGAAUUAUGACGAGAAUAAAGCCCACCAUGAGCAUUGGGACGCCUAGCAUUGAGUGAAAAAGCCCCAUCUACUGCUUCUCUAUCUUCCUUUGCAUCCAACCAGUCCAAUGCAUCUCCAAUCUCAGAGUCCGAUGACCAUGAAAUAUCCUCCUCCUCUUCAUCUUCUUCCACCGAUUCAUCAUUAUUCCUUAUUGAAGGUUCAAUUUCAUCUAGCUUCUCUUCCACUGCAGACAUACCUG
rnacentral:misc_RNA from 1 species